rnacentral:rRNA from 1 species
AGGGGGUCUGCUCUGCCUCAAUGUGAAUUGCAGGACACAUUGAUCAUCGACACUUCGAACGCAUUUGCGGCCCCAGGUUCCUCCCAGGGCUACGCCUGUCUGAGCGUC